rnacentral:tRNA from 1 species
GGGCAUUUGGGAUAGUGGUAUGAUUCUCGCUUAGGGUGCGAGAGGUCCCGAGUUCAAUUCUCGGAAUGCCCC